GAUGAACGCUAGCGGCAGGCCUAACACAUGCAAGUCGAGGGAGAAGCCCUUUCGGGGGCAGAAACCGGCGCACGGGUGCGUAACGCGUAUGCAACCUACCUUUCACAGGGGGAUAGCCCGAAGAAAUUUGGAUUAAUACCCCAUAAUAUUAUUGGAUGGCAUCAUUUGAUAAUUAAAACUGCGGUGGUGAAAGAUGGGCAUGCGUCCUAUUAGCUAGUUGGAGUGGUAACGGCACCCCAAGGCUACGAUAGGUAGGGGUCCUGAGAGGGAGAUCCCCCACACUGGUACUGAGACAGGGACCAGAAUCCUACGGGAGACAGCAGUGAGGAAUAUUGGUCAAUGAUCGGAAGACUGAACCAGCCAUGCCGCGUGCAGGAAGAAUGCCUUCUGGGUUGUAAACUGCUUUUAUAUGGGAAGAAUAAGGCGUACGUGUACGUUGAUGACGGUACCAUAUGAAUAAGCAACGGCUAACUCCGUG
rnacentral:rRNA from 1 species